AACAGAACAGAAUCUUCAUCAUCACACAAGACAAAACAACAACAAUGAACAACAUCAUCAUCCUCAUCUGGACUCUGACUCUCUGCAAUCAGGAGAUCUGGGGACAAGUGACAGUCACUCAGAAUCCAGAAAUAAAAUCCAUCAAACAAGGAGAAACUGUUACAAUCAGCUGUAAAACCAGUCAGCCGAUUUCUGGCUGUAAUGACUGUGUGUCUUGGUAUCAGCAGAAACCUGGAGAAACUCCUAAACUCCUCAUUUAUUACAUAAGAAGCCUUUAUUCUGGAACUCCAUCUAGAUUCAGUGGCAGUGGAUCUGACUAUGGAAGUGAUUUUACUCUGACCAUCAGUGGAGUCCAGACUGAAGAUACAGGAGAUUAUUACUGUCUGAGUUUACACCAGAUCAGUGGUAACUGGGUGUUCACACAGUGA